rnacentral:misc_RNA from 1 species
GUUCAGUCCAAAAUGUAGCAGAGAACCAUAAUAACCAUCAUAGCACAUAGAAAGUACAUAACUACAUAAAAGAGCAAAUAUACAGCAAAUCAAGAUGAACUAAUAUCUUAUAUAAGCAACGGUCAAAUGCAGGUCUGCACAUUAUUCCAAACAUAACCUAGAGUCAUAGAGCCACUACAUGUUCUUGAUUAAUACCAGGCACACAUAGGUUUUUGCACUAACAUGGAAAUCACCAGGCAUGAGACUUGGUAUGAUUUCAGAAGAGUUUUACUCCGGCAGUGUAUUGAAGACUUGAAAUAGUUAAUUAAUUGGUUUGAGUGCUUUAGUAAAUAUAUGGUCCAGACAUGCCCAACUUAAUUGGACCCAAUAAAAACAGAAAUUAAGUAGUAGCUUUAGUCCUAGUACCCAACUACAUAACUAGCUUCUAAGACAUACUAUGAUACUAUACAGGGAAGAAUGCCGUCCCACGAGAAAAAGUACAAGAACCAUUAGGUAAAAGAGGAUAUAAGUUCCACAGACCACAAUAUCAUUCAACCAAUAUAACAAUGAAAUAGCUAGUUUCUUAGGUACGACAAUUAGACCCUGCCGUUGCCCAACAUUCAUACAGACCAAACAAUAAAAUAAGCAUAUGAGUAGCUGAAAUUCACGUCAAGAAGCAGCAUCUGGCUAAUUAUCGAAGUAACUUGUCUAGAAGGUAAUAUUUACAUUAAAGGCUCGAUGACGAAGCAGACAGAAUUCAUACUCAUUGGAGUGAAGGUAAAUACAAUUUCCCAGGAAAAAAAAAAAAUCACUAGCAUUACCUCUUGUGGUUAAUAAUGCAUGAAUGCACUAGGAUUACAAGCUAGUCAUUCUUGAGAGGUGUCAUGAUAUAAGCAAGAGGGCAGCAUAAAAUCCAAGAAAGAGAAAAAAAAAUAUA